UGGCCAUUAAAAGUUAUUCAAAUCAUGACGCUGCACCCCUCGGUUUAGGUUCUAGGGGGCGCCAAAGAUAACCCUAAGAUCCACAUAUUUAAAAGUCUUAUAACUUUUUAUUUUUGCCCUCACUGGCCUCCAAGUUUUCUAGGAUGAUGCAAUGUCCAGCCAUCAACACAUUUGUGAAGGAAUUUUUACUCCCCAAAAGAGCGCCCCCCCAUGGCAGGAGAAAAAAGUCCAUUUUUUCUUGUCCCCUAAGGUGAAAAUACACAUUGUUGAGUGUAACACCUGUACGCUUUGGCAAAAUGACACCAAAAAUGAGACACACAUGUAUCUCAAUAAGAUCUACAAAAAAGUCAAUGCGCACGUAUCUGUCAAAUGUACGGUUAAAGGGUUAUUCCGCAUUUUUUGCCGAUCCGCACACAUUGGAAUUUCGCUAACUCCUCCGAAGGCUUUCGUUCUACCGGCACCACAUUUUCUCAGGCCAAUCUACACCCCAUGGCCAUUAAAAGUUAUUCAAAUCAUGACGCUGCACCCCACGGUUUAGGUUCUAGGGGGCGCCAAAGAUAACCGUAAAAUCCACAUAUUUAAAAGUCUUAUAACUUUUUAUUUUUGUCCCCACUGGCCUCCAAGUUUUCUAGGAUGAUGCAAUGUCCAGCCAUCAACACAUUUGUGAAGGAAUUUUUACUCGCCAAAAGAGCGCCCCCCCAUGGCAGGAGAAAAAAGUCCAUUUUUUCUUGUCCACUAAGGUGAAAAUACACAUUGUUGAGUGCUACGCCUGUAUGUUUUGUCGUAUUGACACAAAAUUUUACAUACACGUGUCUUUCAAUAAGAUCUUCGAAAAAGUCAAUGGCCACGUAUCUGUAAAAUGUACGGUUAAAGGGUUAUUUUGCAUUUUUUGCCGAUUCGCACACAUUGGAAUUUCGCUAACUCCUACGAAGGCUUUCGUUCCACCGGCACCACAUUUGCUCAGGCCAAUCUACACCCCAUGGCCAUUAAAAGUUAUUCAAAUCAUGACGCUGCACCCCACGGUUUAAGUUCUAGGGGGCGCCAAAGUAACCCUAAAAUCCACAUAUUUCAAAGUCUUAUAACUUUUUAUUUUUGUCCUCACUGGCCUCCAUGUUUUCUAGGAUGAUGCAAUGUCCAGCCAUCAACACAUUUGUGAAGGAGUUUUUUCUCGUUAAAAGAGCGCCCCCCCAUGGCAGGAGAAUAAAGUCAAGUUUUUCCUGUUCAUCAUUCAAUGGCUCAAACGCACUGCUCUCUCGGCAAAAGCGAAAAGAGGAGCAACUUGCCAUUUGGAUAUAUCUUAGCUGUGUUUGUGCCCUCACUCAUGGUCCAGACUUUUUUCAAAUAGGACAUGGAGUUUUUCUGCAGCGAGCGUUUUGGUAGAAACUGCGCCUCCCGUUCAUUAUAAUGGUAAAUGACCACAAACAAGUGUGCACACCAUCUUUGGACCUUGAGUGUGACGCGAUCGGGUGGGGGAGGCGGUCGCGCUGGGGGCGGCGUGACGCGGCUCGGGCCCGCCAGUGCCCCAACGGGGCCCUAGUAUUAUUAGGGCCCGAGCGUAGCUGCUAAGCAGCUGCGAGAGCCCUAUUAUUCCCCAAGUGGUUUUUCUUUGUUUCUUUUUUCUUUUUCCUCCCCUUUGAACUGGAAAAUGGCCCACUUCCCACUGGCGAAAACUCAUGAAAUUUGGCAGGACGACCGGGCCUGGUGAAAAAUUUGAUAUUCUGAAGUCGUCCAAACAAUACAAUGCAAAAUGGCUCCAUAGCGCCCCCUAAGGUGAAAAAUUCACCUGACGCCUGUACGCUUUGUCAAAAUGACACAAAAAUUGACACACACAUGUAUCUCAAUAAGAUCUACAAAAAAGUCAGUGCGGGCGUAUCUGUCAAAUGUACGGUUAAAGGGUUAUUGCGCAUUUUUUGCCGAUCCGCACACAUUGGAAUUUCGCUAACUCCUCCGAAGGCUUUCGUUCCACCGGCACCACAUUUGCUCAGGCCAAUCUACACCCCAUGGCCAUUAAAAGUUAUUCAAAUCAUGACGCUGCACCCCACGGUUUAGGUUCUAGGGGGCGCCAAAGAUAACCCUAAAAUCCACAUAUUUCAAAGUCUUAUAACUUUUUAUUUUUGCCCUCACUGGCCUCCAAGUUUUCUAGGAUGAUGCAAUGUCCAGCCAUCAACACAUUUGUGAAGGAAUUUUUACUCCCCAAAAGAGCGCCCCCCCAUGGCAGGAGAAAAAAGUCCAUUUUUUCUUGUCCCAUAAGGUGAAAAUUCACACUAUUGACUGUCACGCCUG
rnacentral:lncRNA from 1 species